rnacentral:rRNA from 1 species
AUUGAACGCUGGCGGCAGGCCUAACACAUGCAAGUCGAGCGGAUGAAGGGAGCUUGCUCCUGGAUUCAGCGGCGGACGGGUGAGUAAUGCCUAGGAAUCUGCCUGGUAGUGGGGGAUAACGUCCGGAAACGGGCGCUAAUACCGCAUACGUCCUGAGGGAGAAAGUGGGGGAUCUUCGGACCUCACGCUAUCAGAUGAGCCUAGGUCGGAUUAGCUAGUUGGUGGGGUAAAGGCCUACCAAGGCGACGAUCCGUAACUGGUCUGAGAGGAUGAUCAGUCACACUGGAACUGAGACACGGUCCAGACUCCUACGGGAGGCAGCAGUGGGGAAUAUUGGACAAUGGGCGAAAGCCUGAUCCAGCCAUGCCGCGUGUGUGAAGAAGGUCUUCGGAUUGUAAAGCACUUUAAGUUGGGAGGAAGGGCAGCAAGUUUAUACCUUGCUGUUUUGACGUUACCAACAGAAUAAGCACCGGCUAACUUCGUG